rnacentral:rRNA from 1 species
AUUGAACGCUGGCGGCAUGCCUUACACAUGCAAGUCGAACGGCAGCGCGGACUUCGGUCUGGCGGCGAGUGGCGAACGGGUGAGUAAUACAUCGGAACGUACCCUGUUGUGGGGGAUAACUAGUCGAAAGAUUAGCUAAUACCGCAUACGACCGGAGGGUGAAAGUGGGGUACUGCAAGGCGUCACGCAGCAGGAGCGGCCGAUGUCUGAUUAGCUAGUUGGUGGGGUAAAGGCCCACCAAGGCGACGAUCAGUAGCUGUUCUGAGAGGACGAUGAGCCACACUGGGACUGAGACACGGCCCAGCCUACGACGGGAGGCAGCAGUAGGGAAUUUUGGACAAUGGGGGCAACCCUGAUGCAGCAAUGCCGCGUGUGUGAAGAAGGCCUUCGGGUUGUAAAGCACUUUUGUGCGGAAAGAAAUCGCGCUGGUUAAGACCUGGCGUGGAUGGCGGUACCGGAAGAAUAAGCACCGGCUAACUACGUGCCAGCAGCCGCGGUAA